UUGUGUGUUUAGUUGUCCGACACAUCAACAAAGUUACAAUUAUAAACAGGAACAGAUGUUUUCAUUUUCACCAGGUGUUUAGUCCUGCUCCCUCCUUCAAAAUAAAAGCUCUGACAGACAUAGAAACAUAAACAUAGAGAAUGUUUUCGUUCAACAUUUCCUCUCUCAGUUCUCCGUUCCUCUGUCUGGUGCACUGAAUGAGUGUGUUGUCCCUCGUUCCCACUCUCCUCCAGGGGAGAGAUUCCAGGUGGCUUGUCUGUUCUGCAGCCGUGGACCUCGUCUCUGGCUCAUCUUGCACCCCCCGUUUUCCCCCAGCUCCAUCUGGAUGAAGCCCAUCUGCUGCACUAUUUAAAAUUGUGUCUGCACGGUGGUGUAGUGGUUAGCACUUUUGCCUCACAGCAGGAACGGCCGUGGCUCAAAUCCGGGCUGGAGGACCUGUAACCAACUUUCUGUGUGGAGUUUCCACGUUCUCUCUGUGCAUGUGUGGGUUUUCUCCAGGGACUCUGGCUCUCUCCCACCAUCCAUCCAACCAUUCAUCUAUCUUCUUCCGUUCAUCCUGGACCGGGUCACGGGGGCAGCAGUUUAAGCAAUGAUGCCCAGAUUUCCCUCUCCCCGGUCACUUCCUCCAGCUCCCCUGGAGGUUCCCAGGCCAGCUGAGAGACAUAGUCUCUCCAGCAUGUCCUGAGUCUUCCCCAAGGCCUCUGCCUAGUAGGACAUGCUUGGAACUCCUCCCCUCCCCAGGGCGGCGUCCAGGAGGCAUCAGGACCGGAUACCUGUGCCACAUCAGCGACCUCUGAAACGUUAGCAGCAAAUCUGCCGACAAGCCAGCAAGGCUUGAUAGGACUCCAUCCCUUACAUCCGGCGUCCACCAGCGGGUUUGACACACAGCUGAAGGUCGCCUGAAACGAGUAUUUACAGACAUGAUAAAUGAAUCCACAUGGUCUGUAGACUUUGGACACUACAUUCAGCUAUUCUCCAGUUCUUUUUUGACCUCCGUUUGUGUUUGGUUCUGGUGUUUGAUCUCAAGAUAAGCCAAGCUCAGUGGAAAACAGUUUGUUGAGGAAUCAGGUGAACUUCUUACAGCAGCACUAUCAGCAGACAGUAAGGAGGAUCCAGGUGAGUCCAGGGAGGAUCCAGGUGAGUCCAGGGAGGAUCAGGUCAACGUCGGAGGGAGAAACUGGUGUCAUGCAGAAGUGGAGCGUGGGUCAGAGCAGGAAGACAGAAUACGAUCAAUGUCCAAAUCCAGGUCCAUGUCAGCAUCACUGCACCACAGAAGUGAGGAUGUCUUCAUCUACUUAGAUCAGAUUGAGCUUGGAUAACAGUGAUCAAUGACUGCUUGGUAGUCUAUGCUGACAUCUGAAGGGCAUUGAAAUGAUUCUGUUUUCCCUGCUGAAGGAGACAGCAGCAAAGUUGAAUGUCUUUUGACCAACAGGUAGAGAUGUGAACCGUCUAUGGGGAACACCCCCCUUUACCCAACAAUGGCUGGGAUUGGCUCCAGCAACCCAGCGACCUUUCAAAGACCUGAUCCUGAAGAUGAGGAGGACUUUCUCUUGGGAGGUUUGCUCCGAUGAACUGGACAUCAUCAACAGAACAACCCGUCUCUCAGACUAAAGAGACUCA